UCUCUGCGAUGUUGAAAUCAGAUAACAAGUCCGAUGUAGUCUAUUAAACCAUGUGGACAAUCAAGGCAUUUGUCUGAGAAAA
rnacentral:snoRNA from 3 species